GUUCGAUCAUGGCUCAGAUUGAACGCUGGCGGGAUGCUACACAUGCAAGUCGAACGGCAACACGGACUUCGGUCUGGUGGCGAGUGGCGAACGGGUGAGUAAUGUAUCGGAACGUGCCUAGUAGCGGGGGAUAACUACGCGAAAGCGUAGCUAAUACCGCAUACGCCCUUCGGGGAAAGCGAAAUUCGGGCCUCGCACUAUUGACGCAGCCGAUAUCGGAUUAGCUAGUUGGUGGGGUAACGGCUCACCAGGCGACGAUCGUAGCUGGUUUGAAGGACGACCGCCACGCACAGGACUGAGACACGGCCCAGACUCCUACGGGAGGCAGCAGUGGGGAAUUUUGGACAAUGGGGAAGCCUGAUCAGCCAUCCCGCGUGUGCGAUGAAGGCCUUCGGGUUGUAAAGCACUUUUGGCAGGAAAGAAACGGCACGGGAUAAUACCCCGUGCAACUGACGUACCUGCAGAAUAAGCCUGCAGCUGUACAUUGCCAGCAACCGCGGUAAUACGUAGGGUGCAAGCGUUAAUCGGAACACUGGGCGUAAAGCGUGCGCGAGCGGUUCGGAAGAAGAAAGAUGUGAAAUCCCAGAGCUUAACUUUGGAACUGCAUUUUUAACUACCGAGCUAGAGUGUGUCAGAGGGAGGUGGAAUUCCCGCGUGUAGCAGUGAAAUGCGUAGAUAUGCGGAGGAACACCAUUAAGCGAAGGCAGCCUCCUGGGAUAACACUGACGCUCAUGCACAGCAGCGAUGGGGGAGCAAACGGGAUUAGAUACCUGGUAGUCCACGCCUAAACGAUGUCAACUAGCUGUUGGGGCCUUCCCGGGCCUUGGUAGCGCAGCUAACGCGUAGAAGUUGACCGCCUGGGAGCUACGGUCGCAAGAUUAAAACUCAAAGGAAUUGACGAGGGACCACACAAGCGGUGGAUGAUGUGGAUUAAUUCGUGCAACGCGAAAACCCAGCACCUACCCUUGACAUGUCUGGAAUCCCGAAGAGAUUUGGAGUGCUCGCAAGAGAACCGGAACACAGGUGCUGCAUGGCUGUCGUCAGCCCGUGUCAUUGAGAUGUUGGGUUAAGUCCCGCAACGAGCGCAACCCUUGUCAUUAGUUGCUACGAAAGGGCACUCUAAUGAGACUGCCGGUGACAAACCGGAGGAAGGUGGAUGACGUCAAGUCCUCAUGGCCCUUAUGGGUAGGGCUUCACACGUCAUACAAUGGUCGGGACAGAGGGUCGCCAACCCGCGAGGGGGAACCAAUCCCAGAAACCCGAUCGUAGUCCGGAUCGCAGUCUGCAACUCGACUGCGUGAAGUCCGGAAUCCUUUAGUAAUCGCGGAUCAGCAUGUCGCGGUGAAUACGUUCCCGGGUCUUGUACACACCGCCCGUCACACCAUGGGAGUGGGUUUUACCAAGUGGUCGCCUAACCGUAAGGAGGGCGAUUACCACAGUAGGAUUCAUGACUGGGGUGAAGUCGUAACAAGGUAG
rnacentral:rRNA from 1 species